rnacentral:rRNA from 1 species
AGAGUUUGAUUAUGGCUCAGGAUGAACGCUAGCGGCAGGCUUAACACAUGCAAGUCGAGGGUAGAGGAAGCUUGCUCCCUGAGACCGGGCGCACGGGGUGCGUAACGCGUAUGCAAUCUACCUUGUACAGGGGGAUAGCCCAGAGAAAUUUGGAUUAAUACCCCAUAGUAUUAUUGAAUGGCAUCAUUUAAUUAUUAAAGUUCCAACGGUACAAGAUGAGCAUGCGUCCUAUUAGCUAGUUGGUGUGGUAACGGCACACCAAGGCUACGAUAGGUAGGGGUCCUGAGAGGGAGAUCCCCCACACUGGUACUGAGACACGGACCAGACUCCUACGGGAGGCAGCAGUGAGGAAUAUUGGACAAUGGGCGCAAGCCUGAUCCAGCCAUGCCGCGUGCAGGAAGAAGCAUCUAUGGUGUGUAAACUGCUUUUGUACGGGAAGAAACACUGCUACGUGUAGCAGCUUGACGGUACCGUAAGAAUAAGGAUCGGCUAACUCCGUGCCAGCAGCCGCGGUAAUACGGAGGAUCCAAGCGUUAUCCGGAAUCAUUGGGUUUAAAGGGUCCGUAGGCGGUCUAAUAAGUCAGUGGUGAAAGCCCAUCGCUCAACGAUGGAACGGCCAUUGAUACUGUUAGACUUGAAUUAUUGGGAAGUAACUAGAAUAUGUAGUGUAGCGGUGAAAUGCUUAGAUAUUACAUGGAAUACCAAUUGCGAAGGCAGGUUACUAUCAAUAUAUUGACGCUGAUGGACGAAAGCGUGGGGAGCGAACAGGAUUAGAUACCCUGGUAGUCCACGCCGUAAACGAUGGGUACUAGCUGUUCGGAGCAAUCUGAGUGGCUAAGCGAAAGUGAUAAGUAUCCCACCUGGGGAGUACGUUCGCAAGAAUGAAACUCAAAUGAAUUGACGGGG